CCUACGGGGGGCUGCAGUGAGGAAUAUUGGUCAAUGGGAGAGAUCCUGAACCAGCCAAGCCGCGUGAAGGAAGACGGCCCUAUGGGUUGUAAACCUCUUUUGUCGGAGGACAAACCCCGGGACGUGUCCCGGACUGCGUGUAUCCGAAGAAAAAGCAUCGGCUAACUCCGUGCCAGCAGCCGCGGUAAUACGGAGGAUGCGAGCGUUAUCCGGAUUUAUUGGGUUUAAAGGGUGCGUAGGCGGUCCGUUAAGUCAGCGGUAAAAUUGCGGGGCUCAACCCCGGAGAGCCGUUGAAACUUGCCGACUUGAGAUGGCGAGAAGUAGGCGGAAUGUGUGGUGUAGCGGUGAAAUGCAUAGAGAUCGCGCAGAACUCCGAUUGCGAAGGCAGCGUACCGGGGCAAGACUGACGCUGAGGCACGAAAGCGUGGGGAGCGAACAGGAUUAGAUACCCCAGUAGUC
rnacentral:rRNA from 1 species